AGUGAACGCUGGCGGUAGGCCUAACACAUGCAAGUCGAACGGCAGCACAGUAAGAGCUUGCUCUUACGGGUGGCGAGUGGCGGGCGGGUGAGGAAUACAUCGGAAUCUACUUUUUCGUGGGGGAUAACGUAGGGAAACUUACGCUAAUACCGCAUACGACCUACGGGUGAAAGCAGGGGAUCUUCGGACCUUGCGCGAUUGAAUGAGCCGAUGUAGGAUUAGCUAGUUGGCGGGGUAAGGGCCCACCAAGGCGACGAUCCGUAGCUGGUCUGAGAGGAUGAUCAGCCACACUGGAACUGAGACACGGUCCAGACUCCUACGGGAGGCAGCAGUGGGGAAUCUUGGACAAUGGGCGCAAGCCUGAUCCAGCCAUACCGCGUGGGUGAAGAAGGCCUUCGGGUUGUAAAGCCCUUUUGUUGGGAAAGAAAAGCAGCAGGUUAAUACCCCGCUGUUCUGACGGUACCCAAAGAAUAAGCACCGGCUAACUUCGU
rnacentral:rRNA from 1 species